CUGCUUGUUUGCAUUCCCCCCCCUUUCAUAUUUGACAGGUACCUGCUCCCACUUCUGGGUGACCUGCCAGGAUGAUCAUAAGGCUUCACUGCCGGUAUCCCUUACCCAACAGCCAGCGCCUGUACAUGAAACCGACUGAAGAUAUGGUUCAGGGGACUGCAGUGACCUCAAGGCAUAAAAAGGGGUUACAAGGACAUCGAAGGCUUCGUUUUCAGCGCAAAAAAUAAAAACCGCAGAGGUGAUCAAACACCAC